UCAUGAGGCAAUUUGUGAUCUUGGCGAAGGAGAAUCGAGUUCCACCCUGUCUCUUGCCUAGAGACAUGAUGCUGUGGUUGCUGCGAAGUAGAAACUUACCACAAGAGAAAGUUCCGGGAAAUGCAAAUGAGAGUGGGUGCCAGGAUGUUCAAUCUCCUUUUUGUGGACCGGAUAAAGGCAAGGAUCCUCUGUUUGAAUAAGAUGCAGAGAGAAGUGUGCAGGGACCUAGACGAAGAGGAAAGCAAGGCCUUCGCAGUUGCUGGGGAG